rnacentral:rRNA from 1 species
AUUGAACGCUAGCUACAGGCUUAACACAUGCAAGUCGCGGGACCGGCGCACGGGUGAGUAACGCGUAUCUAACCUGCCCUUCACCACGGGAUCACCCGGCGAUAGUCGGACCAAUACCGUAUCGUGAAGGAUGGUGAUGCGUCCGAUUAGCUUGCCGGCGGGGUAACGGCCACCCGUGGCUACGAUCGGUGGGGGUUCUGAGAGGAAGGUCCCCCACACUGGAACUGAGACACGGUCCAGACUCGUACGGGAGGCAGCAGUGAGGAAUAUUGGUCAAUGGGCGGAAGCCUGAACCAGCCAAGUAGCGUGAAGGACGACGGCCUAUGGGUUGUAAACUGCUUUUAUGCGGGGAUAGGUACCGCAUGAAUAAGGACCGGCUAAUUCCGUGCCAGCCGCCGCGGUAAUAC